UUACGGCCAUAUCAUGUUGAAGCAUCGGUUCUCGUGCAGUCGCCGAAGUUAACCAACGUCGAGCCUGGUCAGUACUUAUGUGGGUGACAGCUUGGUAAUACCAAGUGCUGUAAG